UAGGGAAUCUUCCACAAUGGACGCAAGUCUGAUGGAGCAACGCCGCGUGAGUGAAGAAGGUUUUCGGAUCGUAAAGCUCUGUUGUUUUUGAAGAAGGAUAGAGGCAGUAACUGGUCUUUAUUUUACGGUAAUCAACCAGAAAGUCACGGCUAACUACGUGCCAGCAGCCGCGGUAAUACGUAGGUGGCAAGCGUUGUCCGGAUUUAUUGGGCGUAAAGCGUGCGCAGGCGGAAUGAUAAGUCUGAUGUGAAAGCCCACGGCUCAACCGUGGAACUGCAUCAGAAACUGUCAUUCUUGCGUGCAGAAGAGUAGAGUGAAUUUCCAUGUGUAGCGGUGGAAUACGUAGAUAUAUGGAAGAACACCAGUGGCGAGGGCGACUCUCUGGUCUGCAACUGACGCUGAGGCUCGAAAGCAUGGGUAGCGAGCAGG
rnacentral:rRNA from 1 species